AACGAACGCUGGCGGCAGGCCUAACACAUGCAAGUCGAGCGCCCUCUUCGGAGGGAGCGGCGGACGGGUUAGUAACGCGUGGGAACGUGCCCAGAUCUAAGGAUAGCCACUGGAAACGGUGAGUAAUACCUUAUACGCCCUUCGGGGGAAAGAUUUAUCGGAUUUGGAUCGGCCCGCGUUAGAUUAGGUAGUUGGUGGGGUAACGGCCUACCAAGCCUACGAUCUAUAGCUGGUUUUAGAGGAUGAUCAGCAACACUGGGACUGAGACACGGCCCAGACUCCUACGGGAGGCAGCAGUGGGGAAUUUUCCGCAAUGGGCAAAGCCUGACGAGCAAGACCGCGUGGGGGAGAAGGUUUUGGAUCGUAAA
rnacentral:rRNA from 1 species